rnacentral:rRNA from 1 species
AUUGAACGCUGGCGGCAGGCUUAACACAUGCAAGUCGAGCGGAGUGAUGGUGCUUGCACUAUCACUUAGCGGCGGACGGGUGAGUAAUGCUUAGGAGUCUGCCUAUUAGUGGGGGACAACAUCUCGAAAGGGAUGCUAAUACCGCAUACGUCCUACGGGAGAAAGCAGGGGAUCACUUGUGACCUUGCGCUAAUAGAUGAGCCUAAGUCGGAUUAGCUAGUUGGUGGGGUAAAGGCCUACCAAGGCGACGAUCUGUAGCGGGUCUGAGAGGAUGCUCCGCCACACUGGGACUGAGACACGGCCCAGACUCCUACGGGAGGCAGCAGUGGGGAAUAUUGGACAAUGGGGGGAACCCUGAUCCAGCCAUGCCGCGUGUGUGAAGAAGGCCUUAUGGUUGUAAAGCACUUUAAGCGAGGAGGAGGCUUACCUAGUUAAUACCUGGGAUAAGUGGACGUUACUCGCAGAAUAAGCACCGGCUAACUCUGUGCCAGCAGCCGCAGUAAGAC